UACGGGGGGCGCGAGCGUUGUUCGGAAUUAUUGGGCGUAAAGGGCGCGUAGGCGGUGCGGUAAGUCUGGUGUGAAACCUCUGGGCUCAACUCAGAGCUGGCAUCAGAAACUGCCGUGCUAGAGUGUGGGAGAGGAGAGUGGAAUUCCCGGUGUAGCGGUGAAAUGCGUAGAUAUCGGGAGGAACAUCGGUGGCGAAGGCGGCUCUCUGGACCACAACUGACGCUGAAGCGCGAAAGCUAGGGGAGCAAACAGG
rnacentral:rRNA from 1 species